GUGUGGCAACUGGUGCAUAUGAGGAAACUCACGAACUCAGGAGCAGAGUCAGCCACAGUCAGUCCUCCCACUCACAGAGGCAGGACAACAGAUAUUCAGAACACAUCGAUUGCUCUGGUUCUAUUCACUCCUUCCUCAAAAUAUUUUUUAAUGUUUUCCUUUUCUAGUUCUUCUUCCAAAUAAGCGUGUGUGUGAGUUUUAUAAUGAAAACUCAGUUAAUAACAUCUGGUAUACAGAAAUGUCUACUGAGAAAACACGGGGCAAUCUGGAAGAUUUAGAUCCUGUGGGGUCUUUUACAAAGACCAGCAACUGAUCAAAAUAUAGAUAAUAAUUGGCUCCAUUUGUAUGUCUACAAUGCAACUUCUACAUCUAAUGCUCAGGUAGCAUCAAAGAAGAGGUAAGAUCCAGAGAAUCAGGAUGUCCACCACAAGACAUUAUCACAUGACAAGGAAAAUGCAACCAUGAAGUUCCAGUGACACAGUAUCCUGAAGAAGACCUGCAUAAUGACCAGUGGGGAUAGACCUCAGAUUUCUCUCCAUAUCAAAAAGCGACUGAGGAUGAAUUUAAGCUUGCUGAAGUCUGCUUCAUUCUCUGUGAAUGAGGGCUAAGAGUGAUGUCUUCCAAGGGAGAUCACUGUGGAUCCCUUAUGUAAACGACUGGAUGCAAUGAGAAGCCCACCAAGCAUCAUCUGCUAACAGUGCUGUUCACAAGCUUCUUGGAUGAAGUCGGAACAUGAAUCUCAGGAGGGAGGAUGGGUAUCCAAGCAGUUUCCUGGUCUCCUCUUUACAGCAUACCAUGAUUGGUGUGGUCUCUCUGGUGAGAUGGUGCAGCCAUAUUGUUCAGUGUGUGGUUGAAUGUGGAAAGAGAAGGGAAUUCCCCAAGACUCUGAGACACCAAUAGAACAGAGACAAGAAUCACUUGAUUCAGCCUUUCAGAGUUACACAUUUGGUCCUCUAAUCCAUCUGGAAUUCAGAAAUGAGAUAGAGGGAAAGUGGUGUCAGACAUCUGUUAACUCAGUCAGGAGUAAACCUACUAUUCUCCAUGUCUGCAUACGUGUGAAGCGGUUAUGAUAUGAAGGAGGCACCUCCAAUGAGAUACAGAAGCCCUGCUCCUGUUCAAUAAGGUCUGAGGAUUGUCACCCUGGGAUUUCUACCACAUUCUUUGUCCCUGGUUUUCCUCACCAUCACACUGGAGAAUGUGCCCAGAAAGUGUUAAUGGAACGUUUUCAAGCCAGAAGCAGGACUCAGAAUAUUUUUUCAAAUGAUUCUCCCAUGACACCUUGACUGAGAAUAGGAAGAAUGGAUUUACAGUGGAGCUGAGUCCCAGCAAAGGGGCCACAACUCACAUCUUCAAGACAGACAUUACCACAUAUUGAAGCUUUCAUUUUUAUUUCAAGAUGUUGAAAUGGACAAAACAAUGAUGUAAUCCGGCUUCCGCUGUAUGUUGUCCCUAGAGAUGCUACAGCAUAAAGGAUCUGGAAGAACAAAUGAAGAGGGAACUCUAACUGAGCAGUUUUCAUGAGUCAAAAUGUCCUAAUGAGUGGGACAUUUUGUUGAUGCCACUGUUUGGGGGGUUGUUCACACUCCUUUAGGUAGCCUGUCACCCAUGUUCCUCUAAGAACCUCCAAUCAAUAAACUGCUUUUUCACUAUGCUACACUUAGAUAGAAUUAUUCCUAUGCUCUAUCCUUGCUUCAGGACCCAGGAAGAAUAUUUGUUCACAUGUUUCAAAGAAAGGUCACCAGGUACAUCCACCAGGGAGUGUGGUCACCAUUGCCAAAAACUUGAAAAGAUACAGUCUGAGGAAGUUGCUGCUGGUCUUGGUCAGACUGGACAGGCUGUGCUCCAGGGAAAGGGUGGUGAUGGCAGGCAAAAAGGAUAAACCAAGGAGGACCAGAUUCUGGAAGAUGAUACUGAAGCCCUGAGCCAAAACCCUAAAAAAUACUGGGGAGAACUCCAGUAGCUUAAGGGGAUAGGAGAAACAAAUACAAGUAUUAACUGGGUAGGAAUAGGUAAAUGUCUGUACCUAAUAGUUCAAAAGGGACCAGAAGUGGGAUCGCAUAUUUCCUGGCCAUUUUUCACCAAAUUUGAAAGACUGAAAGUUGUAUUAGGAAACAUAUUUCAGGAAUGUAUAGAAAAUAAGAAAAUGAUUUAGGACUAUCAAGGAGUUCAAUGGGUAAUUCUAACAUGUAGAGGAUUUUGUUACAAAGUAAAAGUUGAUGAAGUACUUGUUCUCUCCUCCCAUAACUCAACAUAUGUUCAGACUUGAGAGUGGUAAGAGAACUUCUCUGAAGCAUUCUGCCUAUGUAGAGAUGAUCUCUUCUAAAUGACAAACAGGCCUUCAAAUGCAAUGUUGCCUCAGAUCAGCUAACGAGUUCUCUUCUUUCAAGGUAAGUGGAGAGGUAAAUAAUAGGAAAGAAAUAGGUAAGUAACAAUAAGUAAUAGGAAAGCAUUUAUCUUCCCAAUUUUUUACUCACCUUCUUGAAAGACUAUAAGCUAGUUGACCAAAUCAAA
rnacentral:sRNA from 1 species